rnacentral:lncRNA from 1 species
AGAGCUGCUCGUCUGAGGCUGCUGAGGCGACGGCCGGUGUCGUGGUCGCGGUACCUGUUCCAACACGGCUCGCGGGCCCGUGCCGGCUCCGGUCCCCGGCGCGGCUGUCCGAGCCCCUGCGGCGGGCGGACGAUGGUGUGGCGGAGCACGCGGACGCGGGCGGCGCGGCGGCGGGCAUGAAGGAGGAUGGAAGGGCAGGACGAGGUGUCGGCGCGGGAGCAGCACUUCCACAGCCAAGUGCGGGAGUCCACGAUGAACAAGAAGAUGAAGAUGCCAUCGUCAACAGGAUUUCGUUGUUUUUGAGCACGUUCACUCUCGCAGUGUCAGCUGGGGCUGUUUUGCUUUUACCCUUCUCAAUCAUCAGCAAUGAAAUCCUGCUUUCUUUUCCUCAGAACUACUAUAUUCAGUGGCUAAAUGGCUCCCUGAUUCAUGGUUUGUGGAAUCUUGCUUC